UUAACUAUCGCAUGAGAAUAACUUUAAAGAAGCAACUGCUUCGCUAUAAGAUGAGGGUGCGGCAUAUCAGCUAGUUGGUGAGGGUAAUGGCCCACCAAGGCGAUGACGUGUAGUUAUGCUGAGAGGUAGAAUAACCACAAUGGGACUGAGACACGGCCCAUACUCCUACGGGAGGCAGCAGUAGGGAAUUUUUCACAAUGGACGAAAGUCUGAUGGAGCAAUGCCGCGUGAACGAUGAAGGUCUUUUUAGAUUGUAAAGUUCUUUUAUUUGGGAAGAACAGUUAAUAGAGUGGAAAGCUAUUAAUUUGACUGUACCAUUU
rnacentral:rRNA from 1 species